rnacentral:rRNA from 1 species
GUAGGUGGCAAGCGUUGUCCGGAAUUAUUGGGCGUAAAGCGCGCGCAGGCGGUUCGUUUAAGUCUGAUGUGAAAGCCCACGGGCUCAACCGUGGAGGGUCAUUGGAAACUGGAGAACUUGAGUACAGAAGAGGAAAGCGGAAUUCCACGUGUAGCGGUGAAAUGCGUAGAGAUGUGGAGGAACACCAGUGGCGAAGGCGGCUUUCUGGUCUGUAACUGACGCUGAGGCGCGAAAGCGUGGGGAGCAAACAGGAUUAGAUACCCUGGUAGUCCACGCCGUAAACGAUGAGUGCUAAGUGGUUACGGGGGUUUCCGCCCCUUAGUGCUGCAGCUAACGCAUUAAGCACUCCGCCUGGGGAGUACGGCCGCAAAGGCUG